rnacentral:rRNA from 1 species
GUCUAAGCACAUGCAACUCUGAACCCCCCUGAUCUUGUCUAAUCUUGAAUGCUAAACAAGGUUUGGCCUGCAUAGUACUAGGAUGGGAAACCGUCUAGGAAAACUGGGUGCUGUAGACU